rnacentral:rRNA from 1 species
UUUGAUCAUGGCUCAGAUUGAACGCUAGUGGUAUGCCUUAUACAUGCAAGUCGAACGGUACCAUAGGCUUAUGCUUGAUGACGAGUGGCAAACGGGUGAGUAAUACAUCAGAACAUGCCUUGAAGUGGGGGAUAGCUUGGUGAAAACUAAAUUAAUACCGCAUACGAUCCUUAUGCUUCGGGGAUGAAAGGAGGGGACCUGUCUAGGCCCUGUGCUUUAAGAUUGGCUGAUGGUUGAUUAGCUAGUUGGCGGGGUAAAUGCUCACCAAGGCAAAGAUCAAUAGCUGGUCUGAGAGGAUGGACAGCCACACUGGGAUUGAGACACGGCCCAGACUUCUAUGGAAGGCAGCAGUAGGGAAUCUUGGACAAUGGGCGAAAGCCUGAUCCAGCAAUACCGUGUGUGUGAUGAAGGCCCCUGGGUUGUAAAGCACUUUUGUCUGGGAAGAAAACCUAUUCAACUAACAAUUGAGUACCAUGACUGUACCAGAAGAAUAAGCACCGGCUAACUACGUGCCAGCAGCCGCGGUAAAACGUAGGGUGUAAGCGUUAAUCGGAAUUACUGGGCGUAAAGGGUGUGUAGGUGGUUUAUCAAGACUGGCUGUUAAAUCCUAGGGCUUAACCUUAGAUCGCAUCAGUUACUCGUAGACUAGAGUAUGGAAGAGGGGGGUAGAAUUUUGCAUGUAGCAGUGAAAUGCGUUGAUAUGUAAAGGAAUACCAAAAGCGAAGGCAUCCCCCUGGGACAAUACUGACACUAAAGCACGAAAGCAUGGGGAGCAAACAGGAUUAGAUACCCUGGUAGUCCAUGCCCUAAACGAUGUCGACUAGUUGUUGGAGAGUUUCUUUCCAGUAAUACAGCUAACGCAUAAAGUCGACCGCCUGGGGAGUACGGUCGCAAGGCUAAAACUCAAAGGAAUUGACGGGGACCAGCACAAGCAGUGGAUGAUGUGGAUUAAUUCGAUGCAACACGAAAAACCUUACCUACCCUUGACAUAGACCUGGAUCCUGCUGAGAAGUGGGAGUGCUUUGUUACAUCAAAAGCCUUGGUCUACAGGUGCUGCAUGGCUGUCGUCAGCUCGUGUCGUGAGGUGUUGGGUUAAGUCCUGUAACGAGCGUAACCCUUAUCUUUAAUUGCCGCUAGAUGGUUUAGUUACCUUAAAGAGACUGCCAGCGAUGAGUUGGAGGAAGGCGAGGAUAACGUCAAGUCCCCAUGGCCCUUAUGGGUAGGGCCUCACACGUCAUACAAUGGCUGACACAAAGAGUUGCCAACUUGCAAGAGGGAGCUAAUCUCAUAAAUUCAGUCUUAGUUCGGAUUGUACUCUGAAACUCGGGUAUAUGAAGGUGGAAUUGCUAGUAAUCGUGGAUCAGCAUGUCACGGUGAAUACGUUCUCUGGUCUUGUACACACCGCCCGUCACACCAUGGAAGUAGGUUUUAUCAGAAGUGGAUAGCUCUAACCUCAUUGUAGGAAGGGUUACCAUCAAGAUAAGGUUUAUGACUGGGGUGAAGUCGUAACAAGGAUCUGCU